AUGUUUUGGUUGGACCACUGGGCGGGCGGACAUUCGCAGCGCACGGAGUUCCCUAACCUGUUCACCAUCUGUGUGGAUCCGGCGCUACCAGUCUCCGUGGGGCUUCAAGACGGGCAUUGGAAUAUCUUGUUUCGUCGCUCUUUUGGGCCUGCGGAGGUGUUGGAGUGGGACACUCUGUGUGCGGCCUUGCAUCCCGUGCUCUCGGCUGGACCAGACUCGGCAUCUUGGAGGUUCACGCCUCUGGGUGUUUUUUCCGUUGCGUCGGCUUACCAUUUGUUGUGUCAUAGGCCGACUAUUGCAUGGGUCGCCCCCUUAUGGAAGGCGCCCCUUCCCUUGAAGAUCAAAAUUUUCCCGUGGCAAUUGUUCAUGGGCCGCCUUCCUUCGGGUACGGAGGUGCUCAAGAGGAAUGGCCCAGGUGAUGGGUUAUGUUCUCUUUGUGGGGUUCUCAAGACAGAGACCCACAUCCUCUUCUCUUGCAUGGUGACUCGUUCAUUAUGGAGUUUUGUCCGAGAGGCACUAGGGCCAGAUUGGGAGGCUUCGGACUUAACCGGAUUCCUCCAGGCUAGAGCGGUCCAGACUGGGAGGAAAAGGCGCCUCUUCUGGAUAGUUUUUGUGGCGUUAGCAUGGAUGCUUUGGACGACGCGUAAUAAGAUGGUGAUCGAGCGGAUCUUCCUUCGGUGGGCCUCUGACUCGUUCUUCAAGUUUUCUUGCGUUCUUGCAACACUGGUACCCAUUGGUUAG
rnacentral:rRNA from 1 species